rnacentral:rRNA from 1 species
GAUGAACGCUGGCGGCGUGCCUAAUACAUGCAAGUCGAGCGAACAGAUGAGGAGCUUGCUCCUCUGACGUUAGCGGCGGACGGGUGAGUAACACGUGGAUAACCUACCUAUAAGACUGGGAUAACUUCGGGAAACCGGAGCUAAUACCGGAUAAUAUAUUGAACCGCAUGGUUCAAUAGUGAAAGUCGGUUUUGCUGUCACUUAUAGAUGGAUCCGCGCCGCAUUAGCUAGUUGGUAAGGUAACGGCUUACCAAGGCAACGAUGGGUAGCCGACCUGAACGGGUGGUCGGCCACACUGGAACAGAGACACGGUCCAGACUCCUACGGGGGGCAGCAGUAGGGAAUCUUACGCGAUGGGCGAGAGCCUGACAGAGCAACGCCGCGGGAGUGAUGAAGGUCUUAGGAUCGGAAAACUCUGUUAGUAGGAAAGAACAAAUGUGUAAGUAACUAUGCACGUCUUGACGGUACCUAAUCAGAAAGCCACGGCUAACUACGUG